UACAGAGGGUGCGAGCGUUGUCCGGAAUCACUGGGCGUAAAGGGCGCGUAGGUGGCGCGACAAGUCAGUGGUGAAAGUUCGACGCUCAACGUCGAAUCGGCCACUGAUACUGUUGGGCUUGAGCACUGUAGAGGCUAAUGGAAUUCCGGGUGUAGCGGUGGAAUGCGUAGAGAUCCGGAAGAACACCGGUGGCGAAGGCGGUUAGCUGGGCAGUUGCUGGCACUGAGGCGCGACAGCGUGGGGAGCAAACAGGGAUUAGAAACC
rnacentral:rRNA from 1 species